AUUGAACGCUGGCGGCAGGCUUAACACAUGCGAGUCGAGCGGGGAAAAGUAGCUUGCUACUGGACCUAGCGGCGGACGGGUGAGUAAUGCUUAGGAAUCUGCCUAUUAGUGGGGGACAACAUCUCGAAAGGGAUGCUAAUACCGCAUACGUCCUACGGGAGAAAGCAGGGGACCUUCGGGCCUUGCGCUAAUAGAUGAGCCUAAGUCGGAUUAGCUAGUUGGUGGGGUAAAGGCCUACCAAGGCGACGAUCUGUAGCGGGUCUGAGAGGAUGAUCCGCCACACUGGGACUGAGACACGGCCCAGACUCCUACGGGAGGCAGCAGUGGGGAAUAUUGGACAAUGGGGGGAACCCUGAUCCAGCCAUGCCGCGUGUGUGAAGAAGGCCUUUUGGUUGUAAAGCACUUUAAGCGAGGAGGAGGCUACCGAGAUUAAUACUCUUGGAUAGUGGACGUUACUCGCAGAAUAAGCACCGGCUAACUCUGUGCCAGCCGCCGCAGUAAAAC
rnacentral:rRNA from 1 species